GACGAAGGGGGCUAGCGUUGUUCGGAAUUACUGGGCGUAAAGCGCGCGUAGGCGGUUUUCCAAGUCAGGCGUGAAAGCCCCGGGCUCAACCCGGGAACUGCGCUUGAUACUGUGAGACUUGAGACCGGGAGAGGAUAGUGGAAUUCCCAGUGUAGAGGUGAAAAUUCGUAGAUAUUGGGGAAGAACACCAGUGGCGAAGGCGACUUACUGGACACAUAUUGACGCUGAGGUGCGAAAAGCGUGGGGAGCAAACAGG
rnacentral:rRNA from 1 species